rfam:Schistosoma mansoni strain Puerto Rico chromosome 1, complete genome
AUCCAGCCGACGAAUCCCGAAUAGGAUGAAACAUGCGUCUUGAAU